AGUGCGACAGCUUCAGAGCUGAUGGAGAGACAGAGAGCACGCAACUGGAAAAAAUCAGACAUGGAAUUCAUGGAUUAACUGGUCACCAAUUGUUUCAGCAUUGCGUAUUGAAUAAUACAACCUUCUUCCACUGCCGUGAAAUGUCAACAGCUGCUCUCCCACUAGAUAGGGCGUAGCUUUCCACAGACGUGAAAACAUCGCUGUGGUCCAUCUCUAUUUACUGCAAGCAGAAGGGUCAAGACAGAAAACAUAGAGGCUUUUAGUAGGAGAGGGCAGACAUGCUUUAUCAUAUCAUUGAGCUACAAUUCUGGCCUACAGCAGAGAUACAGCCUGGUAUCCAUUAAGAGCAAGGCCUCUGGACCCAGGCUUCCUGGGCUUGCCUCCUGAUCCCAUCUUUUACUAAUUGUAUCGCCACAGAAAGAAAGGCUCCAGAUUUAUGUUUCCUGGUAUUGCUGCUAUUGGUAUUACUGUCCAUUAUUACUAUCAUCAUCAUCAUCACUAUUAUUAUUAUUAUUUUGCAAUUAAACUACAUUGGUGAAUCUUUAAUGUCCAUCUACUGAAAUAGCUACAGUGCAAGACGGAGAGAGGCCUUCAUGCAUGGUGUGCAUUUGCCACCUAGUGACCACACUGAGGGAGAAGGAACAUGGACCAUCCACCCAGUCUUCCAAACAACAUCCCUCACCCAUAGUUGAAACUUUGGCUUCAGACCCUUCUCUGGCACUUCUGACAAUAAGUUUGGUGACCCAUGCUCUGGAGGAAGAAAGUGAAGAAGAGCAAGACUACUUCUCUGCAGCAAACUCUGAUGUUCUCUGUUCUUUCCUUACCACUGUUGUCAUGAGCAGCAUUUUUUCCCAUAGGUGCAUUGUUAUCCUUGCCAUGAGAGCAGACAAAAAUGAAAAAUAGUUGCCAAGUAACCAGAACUGCUGAUAAGAAACUUUGGGAAAUACCACUGAGAUGUGCUUUGGUAUUUUAUUUCUGGGAACAAACCAAUUGUCUUGGACUUUCACAGUACUCUUUUCUAUGUCUCACCCUUUACCACAAAGGUCCUUAAGUCCUUUGACAUGCAUAGUGUGAGGGAUUCUGGCACACAUUCUAGAACCUCGCAAAGUGGGGGGGGGGGGCUGCUAUCUGCUUUAUCAUCUUCAUUCCUGAAGUUUACUUUAAUUCUGAUUAGUUUGGCAUAAGGUCAUUUGUUGUAUGUAGUCAUCUGAGUUAUGUAUUGCCUGAUCCUGAGUAGCAGAGUAUUUAUCAUAAAUUCCUUGAUUUGCAUUGGUACCUAAUCAAGGAGGAGGAUAGUAUAGUUAAUUUCCAUACUUCCCUCUUGUUCUCAUGUUUGCCUCACCCAAGUGUUUCUGAGAUGCUGAACCUCCUCCAGAAAAGGUAAUGCUAAAAUUUCCUGUUCCCAAAAGGUGCUGCAGAACUCACUUCUAGUUGAAGUUUGAGUGUUUAAUUCACUUUUGUAAUCUCAUUAUUUGACUAAAGUAUUGUUAAAGUGAAUUUUGAAUGUUUGAAAUUUCCUAUGCAGAUUUAACAAAGAGAGAAAAUGACAAAACUAGAGGUAAGACACUCAGAAAUGAUUAUUUUUUUUUUCUGGCAUAUGAUGAGCCUGCCUGGUCUUUUAGUACUUACACAUAUUUUCACCUGCUAUCUAUUUUGAACUCAGUUGUGUACUUUUUCUGGGAACAGAGAGGAAGUCUGACUAGCAUUGCUUGCUCUUUUUGCCCUAACUGCUACUGUGCCAACAUUAUAGAAGGAGCACCCUGAUUGCAUAGGAUAAUGAUAUGAUACUGCCUGAAGAGAGAAAGGAAGAGUAAAUCUUGAUAUGAAGUUGGGAAAAAGAUUACUUCAUAUAUCCUAAAUUGCAUAAAGACAUCCUGGAAUGCAAGCAGUUUAUUCAGUAAUGAAGUAAAUGGGUUUUUGUUUUUUUUUUUUUGAGCCAUAGUGUUAAUAACAGGCCUUGCUCACACAGUAAGCAAGAUGGCUGGCAUUCUCAAGGCUCAGAAGAAGCAGAUGUAGGUUGAAGGUGCACUGUCAGAUAGUGUGGCCCUAGUAAUGUUACAGUUCUUAGCAAGCACUCACUUCUCCACUAACCCACAGGUGUUCUCAGCAUUGACUGAAUUUUGGAGUCAGGGAGGGGACCUCCGAAAACAUGGCAUUUCUGGAAUGUGUUCCCAGCAGUAGGGCCAGUGCCUAUAUAUUUGGAAACCAAUUCAAUGGUUCUGUCUACAUCUCUAGAUGAAUACUUGUGCUAUUAGGUGAUACAAAAUUAAGAUAGAAAAAUAGAAGUGAACUAGUGUCGGGCUCAGGGAACAAGGCUAACAUGAUCAUCUCAGUGUUUGUUCUGGCACUAGGUCAACGAGCAGUCUCACUAAAGUCACUCUAGACUUUUCCUAGUUUCCAAAUGAGGGUAUAGUAUCUUUAUCUCCAAGUGUUCUAACUUUGGUAUUGCCACAUUCAGACAAAAUGACACCAACCUUAUUGGUUAACUUUGUGAGUACCUUAGACUUUACACAGAAGCCAGGGUCAAUAAUAAUGUUAAAUUUCAUUCAUGUUAUUUGAAACUUGAGGGUGUUUGGACUGCAGAUAUAGUUAUGCAGUAGAGCCCUUGCUUGGCAAAUUAUAGUCUCUGGGUGCAUUCUCCAGCAUUGUAAAAAUGUGGUUGUGAGUCAAGCUUUAUAUAUUUUAGACCCUCCCAGAAAAUAAAUUUAGGUAUUAGGUAACAUAGAAUGAAGAGGUCAACUUCUUAAUGAGAAAACACCUUCCAUGAGUAUGUGUGUGUGUGUAUGUAUGUAUAUAUAUAUAUAUAUAUAUAUAUAUAUAUAUAUAUAUAUAUAUACACAUGUAUGUAUAUAUGUAUGUAUAUAUAUGUGUGUAUAUACAUAUACACACAUAUCACAUAUAUGUAUAUAUUCUAUUCUAUUAUAUAUAAUAGCACUUGGGAAAAAUAACUCAAACCACUUUCAUAUGAUUUUAAACAAUUUAUACCUAUCAUUUUGAUAGAUAUAAAUGCAAACAUCUAUAUGGUCAAUGUUUUAAGCUUCCAUAAAUAACUAGUUUCUUCUUAGUCAUGGCCAUGGAUAAGUAUUUUAAAGUCAUUCACCAUCUUUGCCAGUAUUAUCAGUGGUUAUAUAUGCCUUUAAAGAAUGAAAUUUUCUGAUAACUUUCCCAUGUAUUGAUAUUACCACCUUGGCUACUGUUCUUCUUAAUUUGAUCAGACUCAGAGAAACCAGUUUUUAAAUUGAAUUACAUCAACUAGAAAGUCAACGUAAUAAAGUAAAAAAAAAUUAAACAUUAUAUUCUUUUAAUUGUGUAGGACUAUAUAGACUUUGGAUGAUAGAAUAAAUUCAUUAGGGCUCUGAUAAUUUGAAUUAAAAUGCUGAGAUAAAUCUAAUUUAUAUUUAGGACAAAAUUCAGUUAAAAUCUCAGAAGUAUCACUGGUGAGGAUACAUGAUGGAUUUCAGUGUGCCUUUUGUUAGAACACUUUAAUCCGGUUCAGUUCAAAAGCAAGUCAAAUUUAUAGGAAGAUGUAGUGGUUUUGUAUAGACUAAGUGAUAGAAGUAGAAUUUAAUGACAACAUCAUCUAGUAAAUAAAUAUCCUUAUUUUUUAAUUAUGAAUAUUCUCCCCCAAAUUAAGACGUUUCUGUCUAUUUAGGUCCUGUAUUUUUGUUGUAUCAAUGAAUAUUUGUGUUACUGUAUGGUGUGUGCAUGUGUGUGUGUGUGUGUGUGUGUGUGUGUGUGUGUGUGUAUGUGUGUAUGUGUGUGUGUGUUGUAUAUGCAGGUUUGUAUUGGUUCAUACACCAGUGUGUGGACAUGGAGGCCACAGCAGGACAUUGGUUGUCUUGCUCUGUCACUUUCCAGCUAAUUCCUUUGAGAUAGGGUCUCUCACUGAACCCGAAACUAUACUGGCAGUUAGUUAUACUGUUUCUACAUCAUCUCCCUACUCUGGGGUUACAGUCUGGCUUAUUUUUCAAAUGUGGGUUCUGGUGAAUCAAAUUCAGGUUCUCAUGUGUGUAGAGCUUGUCUCCACUGUGCCAUCUUCUCGUCUUAUUUAUUUUAAUUGGUUUUAGAGAAUUUCUAUCAUCAAACAGUUUGGGUAAGUUCUUAAGCUCAAUAUAAACAAGCACACAGACAGAAAAUUCCUUCUCUAUAGGCAUACUUAAUCACUGUAAGAAAUAUGAAAAAAUAACAAGGAGGAUAGGGAGAAUGGGGUAGCUCAGCUGCUGAAAUAGAGACUGUAUUAGAAAGUUAGUAGUUGAUUUUAAAAGAUUAUUCCACAAGGACCCCAAUGAAGGAGCCAGAGAAAGUACCCAGGGAGCUGAAGAGGUCUGAAACCCUACAGGAGGAAUAUCAAUAUGAACUAAUCAGUAUCUCCAGAGCUCCUUGGAACUGUACCACCAAUCAAAGAAAACAUGUGGUGGAACUUGUGGCUCUAGCUAUAUAUGUAGCAGAGGGUGGCCUAGUCAGUCAUCAAUGGGAGGAGAGGCCCUUGGCCCUGUGAAGGCUCUAUGCCCCAGUAUAGGGGAAUUCCAGGACCAGGAGUGAGAGUGGGAGGGUUGGGGAGCAGGGGAGGGGGGAGGGGAUAGGAGAUUUUCGGAGGGUAAACCAGGAAAGGGGAUAGCAUUUGAAAUGAAAAUAAAGAAAAUAUCUAAAAAAAUAAAAGAUUAUUCCAUUUACAAUUUUUGAAAGCUGAAAACAUGAAGCUAUUUUACACAUUUAGGUCAUCUGACACCACCUAGAAGUUAAUAAAAGUCCCAUUGUUUAUUUUUAAAAAUCUGUGAAUGAUGCUUUUGACAUGAAAUGUAUUGAUCACUGAACUUUACAUAAGAUACUUACCCUUUAAUUAUGGUCUUUGGUAUCAGUAUUGUAAAACACCAUGUUGCGAAUGUAAGAAAAUAUUUUGAUGAAAUGUAAAAAUCAAGAAAGGAGACUGAAGAAUAUUUCUUUAGCAUGAACAUAUAUGGCAAAGUUAAGCAUAAAUCUAGUGUAUCUGCGACAAUGGAUUUUGCUUGCAUUACUAGUUAGCUCUUCAUUAUAAGUACCCAGAGUUGGUGCAUCACUACGUGGUGGUGAUAUGAUACAUAUCAUAAUGAGAAAUACAAGUGAUUUUGACUAAGGGUUUGGAAAUUUGGACAUUGAUUUUUUUUUUUUUGUCUGCUCUGGGUCAGGGAUACUGUCUAUCUUUGGGUUUGAGAUGCUUUGUCCUGGCAAGGUAAUCUUUCACCUUUUAGGGUAGGAUAAGUCAUCACAGAGCCUAGGCCUCAGAAUUAGACAGACAAAUUUUACUAUUUUCUCAUGCCAGUUUCUCAUGCUGUGUGACCGUGGGCAUGUCUGUUAACUGUUCUGGACUUCAUUAUCUAAUCUGUAAAAUGGGGUGAAAAUGCCUGUAUUAUUAGGUGGCAAAUGGAGAUUACACAAGAUGCCUAGUACAGUGCCUGGCACAUAGUAAGUGCUCAAUAAAUCAUUGCUAUUAUUAUUAUUAUUAUUAUUAUUAUUAUUAUUAUUAUUAUCAUUAUCAUUAUUACUAUAUAAAUAAGUUUUGUGUAUUAAAACAUGAUAACGUUUCCUUCAAAAUAUGAUAUAUAUGAUGAUUUAAAAAAAGAAUUAAAAGCAUAUUUUAAAAUUUUUCCUUGUUUGCUUAUAAGGGAUACCAGAAACACAUCCAUUUUUCCUUUAGUGAUUCUUUCACACUGUACUUAUUAAUGUUGUAUGAUGUUUAUUUGCCUGGUGAUUAGAGGUAGUGACUUUUUGAUAUGACUGUGUUCCUGUUCUCUUAAAAAUAAUCAAUUUACUUAAUUCCAGCUUAAAGAUAAUUAAGACACUCUGAUAUAGAGAGGGAUGAUAAAUAUGCAUAGAAUGUACUCUUAAUCACUAACUUUUUAGCAAAGUUCCCUUUCAAAGAACUGUGCUAGUCAAAGUGUUCUUACUAGGCAAGGAAGAUUCUCCACAACUGACUUCUGAACUCUUCAGUAUUUUAUGCAUUUAUCAUGGCAUUCAGGAAUUUUUAAAAAGUGAUAGUCAGAAAGUUGGGUACAAAUAAGACUCUGGUACUGUGUUUUUCAAGUUACACAUCUUUCAUUGCCUCAGUUCAAUUUUACAAUACUGCCUCCCAGUAUUACUGCAGUGGCUUUACAUCAUAACCCGGUUUUAACUCAGAAUGGUUAGUAUACCAGUCUUUACAUGUGUAGCUGUGUAUGCUUAGUAGCCUUUGCUACUUAGAAUCUCUAUACACAACUAUCAUCAUCUUAUCAUCGUCUUAGAGUCAAAUAUUACCUUGUCAGAAGAGUCACAAUAACUGCCCAUUAUCUCCUUGUCAGCCUUUUGACUUUUAACUCACUGACCAUUCCCAGUAUGCCGUACUAGUUUUGACUGCUUGAGUUCUCUUGUAUUUAAUACAUGUGCCAAUUCCUGUUCUCUUAAGCCUUAUUUAAGUUAUAAGGAACUUUAGACUAUAACUGAGUUCUCGUCUCUUAUGGCUAGUACUUAAGUUCUAGUGAGUGAGGUCAAAACUUUACAUAUAUAUUUUUAUCCAUGAGAUGGCCCUAUCAAAUUAUAAUCUUCAUUUUACCUGUCUCCAUGUGUUUUCAGAAUACAAGGGUAGAUUUCGUCUCUGUGGUUUUUUUUUUUUAUAUGUGUAAUCCUCUAGCCUCUGACUAUCAUCCUCCUUUAUUGGGACUUUAGGUGCAUCCCAUUUUAUUUUGUCUCUGAAUAUAAGGGAACCUGAACAAUUAGCAGCUUCAACUCUUGUGUAUCAGUGUGUUAUACAAUAUCUUUUAUUUGCUACUAGGCUUCAAAAUGUUGUAUCUGUACUCCUCAUGCAACAGCUAAACUUGGAUGUGCUUAAAUGUAUUAUACUUUAGAUUUAGUAUCUAGAGCUGGACUUUGCAAAUUAUACCCUUUGGGAUAAAUCCACCCACCCAUACUUUAUUUAAAAUAAAUUAAGUCUCAAUGGAAUAUAAGCAUAGAUGUUAUUUUUCUUAUCUACAUUUACAAUAAUAGUGUGAUUGAGUAGUUUCAAUAGAGACCAUAAAAUAUUAACAACCUAAUCCUUUUCAGAACAUCUUGGCUGAAACCUGAUCUAGAACCAAGUAAUAUUUCUAAUGAAGGUACUAUAUAUUCUUUGAUAAUUUCUAUCCUGUUACCAUUCAUUCUGCCAUCCUGUAAAUGUUUAAACAGGUCAGUUCUUUGAGACUGUGAAGAUAGGUUCUAACACAUUCAAAUUACUUCUUUUUUAUUGGAACUUCCUGCUUCCUAUUUGCUAUGUACUUUAAAUGUCCUUGUUCUUGCUUUUUUUGUAGAAGAGAUACUAAUGUCAUAAAAGUCUGUGCUAUGGUCUGAUUAUUUUUGAAUAUAAAAUCUAUACCAUAGUAUGGAAGUGUUUCAAUAUUUCCUUGUUUCUAAACAUGGCCUUCUAUUUUCUAAGAUCAGGCCUUUCUGUUUUUCAGGGUCUCUAACUCAGGUCUUCUAGGUUCCACAAAUGACAAUAUCUUUAAUUACUAGAGUUUCCCUUAUUUUCUAGUCUCUGACCUGAAUAAUCUCUAGUGCUUGUGUUUUCUAAUCUAUCCACUAUAUUAGAGUUUUAAGUGUCUUAAAUCUUCUGAUAUUUUAGACACUACUUAAAGUUAAGCCUUGUAAUUCACAGUCCAGAGUUACAAAUUUCAGAUCUUUUGCAGUCCCAAUCAUUCAGUAUUUCCUACCUGUAGGACUUCUAGAGUCCUUUAUUUCAUGGCAGUCAACUGUAGCUUUUCCAGUCUCUUGUACUGCAUUUUCAGUUAUAUCUAUAAAUGUCUUCUAAAUCUUGAUUUUCACAGUACCUUUUAAAAUCAAAGUUAUUAUUUGACUAUUUCAUACAUGAAUAUAUAAUAUUUUAUUUUCACUCUAGUACUUAUCCUUUCUAAUCUCCUUAUCCCUGUCAGUAUUCAUCCCCACUAUAAGUCCUUUCUCUACAUUCAAAACUUUUUAUUUUGUGAUCCACUUAGUUUAACCAGAGCCAUUCAUAUGUCCACGGGUGUACAAUGAUACUUUGAAGUAUGAGAGGCUCACAAGAGCCUCAUCCAUAGACCGUGAUUCUCCUUCUAUUAUCAAUCAGUAGCCACUAAUUCCCCCAGGAAGGACAGGAACCUACUAAUCCUUUACUCAUCUGUAAUUAACAAGCCCAGUUUAUAACAAGCUCAGUAAAGCUCAGUAAAAAUCUGUGAUUUCAUAAUAUAGCAUUUCAUUGGCCUUUUCUUUACCACCCAGCUUUUACAUUCAUUUAACUCCUGUAAUAUCUUUCUGUUACCAGUUCUUCUCUGACCCAAGUCAUUCAACAUCCUCAAGAACUUUCUUUUUCCACAUCAAAAUGCUCCAUUACUCUGAAAACAUGAAUAACUAGAUCUUUUAGCAUCUAGGUCUCUUUAUCUCUAGGGUUACCAGUAUCAUUUAUGUAUAAUUCUUAUACAUUAUUUGGUUUUUAACAGGACUAUGGCAAUAUUCAGGCUUUUUGUUAUCUCUCAAUAGGUGGGUUUUUGAAUUUGUAAUUUAUAAAUAUAUCCAGGUCUUUUGUUAUCCAUGGAUACCAUUGUUGAGGGAUUUGAAAAUACAAGAUUUACAAUAUCUAAUAUCAAAAACUUCAAGUAUAUGGCUUUUAGUAUCAAGUAUUCCAAAAUUCAGGGACUCCAAAAUCUUUAAUGUCCAGAGUAACCAAUGUUUUCAAAAAUCCAAGGCUUCCAGUGUCUCCAAAAAUCCUGUGCUUAUAAUGUUUCCAAUAUCUAGGGUUUCCAGUGGUGCCAGUACCAAGGUCUUCCAACAUCUCCAGGUCUUCCAGCAACUGCAAGUCUUCCAACACUGUCAAGGUCUUCCAGACAAUCGUGAUCUUCCAGAAAAUAUGUCUUCCAGAUGAUAUAUGUCUUCCAACAACCUCAGAGUCUUCCAGUAAAUUCAGUCUUCCAUGGUAUCUAGAUCUUCCGUGAUAUCUAGAUCUUCUAGGAAAAUCUGUGUCUUCCAGGAAAAUCUUUGUCUUCCAAGGGAUCCAUGUCUUCCAGAAAAAAAUCCACGUCUUCCAGAAAAAUUCAUGUCUUCCAGGAAAAUCCAUGUCUUCCAGAAAAAUCCAAGUCUUCCAGAAGAAUCUAAGUCUUCCUGAAAAAUCCAUGUCUUCCAUAACAAUCUACAUCUUCCAGAAUAAUCAACGUCUUCCACAAAAUUCAGGUCUUCCAGAAAAAUAUCCAGGUCUUCCAACCAGUCUAUGUCUUCCAGAAAAAUCCAGGUCUUCCAGCUCAUCUAUGUCUUCCAUCAGUUCAAGUCUUCCAGAUACCCAUGUCUUCCAUUAAAUCUAGGUCUUCCAAUAGAUCUAUGUCUUCCUGAAAAUUAACGUCUUCCAAUAAUGUCCAAGUCUUCCAGCCAAGAUAUGUCUUCCUGAAGAUUAAUGUCUUCCUGAAGAUUGACAUCUUCCAGCAGAAAAUCUUUGUCUUCCAUUAAAUCCACAUCUUCCAGAAAAUCCAUGUCUUCCCAAAAAUCCACAUCUUCCAGGAAAUCAACGUCUUCCCCAAAAUCCAUGUCUUCCUGAAAAUCCACCGUCUUCCAAAUAAUCCAAGUCUUCCCAGAAAUCGAAGUCUUCCCGAAAAUCCAUGUCUUCCCAAAAAUCUACGUCUUCAUGAAAAUCUAUGUCUUCCCAAAAAUCCAAGUCUUCCCAGAAAUCUAAGUCUUCCUGAAAAUCCAAGUCUUCCCAAAAGUCCAUGUCUUCCCAAAGAUCCAUGUCUUCCCGAAAAUCCACGUCUUCUGGAAAAUCGAAGUCUUCCCAGAAAUCCAAGUCUUCUGGAAAAUCGAAGUCUUCCCAGAAAUCCAAGUCUUCCGGAAAAUCGAAGUCUUCCCAGAAAUCGAAGUCUUCCCGAAAAUCCAAGUCUUCCCGAAAAUCCAAGUCUUCCUGAAAAUCCAAGUCUUCCUGAAAAUCUAAGUCUUCCGGAAAAUCUAAGUCUUCCAGAAAAUCUACGUUUUCCCAGAAAUCCAAGUCUUCCCAGAAAUCCAAGUCUUCCCAGAAGUCCAAGUCUUCCUGAAAAUCCAAGUCUUCCCGAAAAUCCAAGUCUUCCCGAAAAUCCAAGUCUUCCCAGAAAUCCAAGUCUUCCCGAAAAUCCAAGUCUUCCCGAAAAUCCAAGUCUUCCCAGAAAUCCAAGUCUUCCCGAAAAUCCAAGUCUUCCCGAAAAUCCAAGUCUUCCCAGAAAUCCAAGUCUUCCCGAAAAUCCAAGUCUUCCCAGAAGUCCAAGUCUUCCCAGAAAUCCAAGUCUUCCCGAAAAUCCAAGUCUUCCCGAAAAUCCAAGUCUUCCCAGAAGUCCAAGUCUUCCCAGAAGUCCAAGUCUUCCCGAAAAUCCAAGUCUUCCCGAAAAUCCAAGUCUUCCCGAAAAUCCAAGUCUUCCCAGAAGUCCAAGUCUUCCCAGAAAUCCGAGUCUUCCCAGAAGUCCAAGUCUUCCCAGAAAUCCGAGUCUUCCCAGAAAUCCAAGUCUUCCCAGAAGUCCAAGUCUUCCCGAAAAUCCAAGUCUUCCCGAAAAUCCAAGUCUUCCCAGAAAUCCGAGUCUUCCCAGAAAUCCGAGUCUUCCCAGAAAUCGAAGUCUUCCCAGAAAUCCGAGUCUUCCCAGAAAUCCAAGUCUUCCCGAAAAUCCAAGUCUUCCCAAAAAUCCAAGUCUUCCCAGAAAUCCGAGUCUUCCCAGAAAUCCAAGUCUUCCCAGAAGUCCAAGUCUUCCCGAAAAUCCAAGUCUUCCCGAAAAUCCAAGUCUUCCCAGAAAUCCAAGUCUUCCCAGAAGUCCGAGUCUUCCCAGAAAUCCGAGUCUUCCCAGAAAUCCGAGUCUUCCCAGAAAUCCGAGUCUUCCCAGAAAUCCAAGUCUUCCCAGAAAUCCGAGUCUUCCCAGAAGUCCAAGUCUUCCCAGAAGUCCAAGUCUUCCCAGAAAUCCGAGUCUUCCCAAAGAUCCACUUCUUCCCAGUAAUCUGUGUCUUUCCAGAAAUCCGUGUUUUCCCGAAAAUCCAAGUCUUCCCGAAAAUCAAUGUCUUCCUGAAAAUCCAAGUCUUCCCAGAAACCCAUGUCUUCCUGAAAAUCCAUGACUUCCCAAAAAUCCAAAUCUUCCUGAAAAAUCCAUAUCUUCCCAAAAAUCCACGACUUCCCAAAAAUCCAUGUCUUCGUGAAUAUCCACGUCUUCCUGAAAAUCCAAGUCUUCCCAGAAAUCCAUGUCCUUCCAAAAAUCCAUGUCUUCCUGAAAAUCUAUGCCUUCCAUAAAUCUACAUCUUCCUGAAAAUCCACAUCUUCCUGAAAAUCUACAUCUUCCUGAAAAUCCACAUCUUCCAUAAAUCCCAGUCUUCCCAGAAAUCCAAGUCUUCUGGAAAAUCCAUGUCUUCCUGAAAAUCUAUGCCUUCCACAAAUCCAUGUCCUCCUAACAAUCCAAGUCUUCCUAAAAAUCUACGCCUUCCACAAAUCUACAUCUUCCUGAAAAUCCACAUCUUCCCAAAAUCCAUGUCUUCGGAAAAAAUCCAUGUCUUCCAAGGAGUACAUGUGUCUUCCUUCACCUCCAAGUCUUCCAGCAUCUCCAGGGCUUCCAGCAUCUGCCUGUCUUCCAACAUCUCCACAUCUUCCAGCAUCUUUAUGUCUUCCAACAACUGCGCAGUGUCUCCAGUGUAUCGGCGUUUUGACAUUCAGGUUUUCUGGUGUCUGCCGUAUCCAGGUAUUGAAAAUUGUUUCAUAGUUUAUUUUUUCCCAGUAUUUCCCUAGUUUUGGGAUCUUUCAAAUCCAGUCUUUUCCAUCUAUGCCUUUUUGGAGUGCAGAUAUUUUAAGACUAACCUGUCAACUAUUUCUGCUUUUAGUAGAAUUAGUUUCAAAAUAUUUAAUAGCACAUUACCUCUUACAGAAAAGGUUUUGUGGGCCAACAGUAGUAGUAUUUGUGAUUGUUUGAUAUUGAGAAAUGUAUAUUCCUUAACUUUUAGGGAUUAUAUUAAGAAAAAAGGAUAAAAUUGAUGCAGUACUUUUAUAAUUUUGUUAAUGAUUAUAUUUUGGUAGUCAGUUAUGCUCAAGCACAAAUGAAAAUUUUCUUUUAAUGAGAAAAUUCCAUACUUAGACACUAUGUUUUUACAAUACAGGUAAAGAUAACAAUACCUAUUUGUCUAUUUUGUCUCUUUUAAUAUUUGUCAUUAUGUGAUAAUAAUAAUAAUAACAAUAAUAACAAUAAUGAUAACAAUAAUGCAUAACAUUUACUUUGUCCAGGCACUGUUCUAAGAUCAUUACAUGAAUCAACUCAUUUAAACUUCACAAAACAUUGAUAUAGGAGUUUUUAUUAUCUUUGUUUUACAGAUGAAGGAACUGAUAUAUAAUGGUGAAGUAACUUGUCCAAAGGCCACAAAAGUAAAUAAAAGAGCUAGGAUUGAACCAAGCUUGUUCAUUUCCAGAAUCUACCAUUCUACCACUCUGUUCUUUAUUAUAUCUGACAAUCAAAACCAAGAUGAGUGUGAGGCUAAAAAGUUUGAUGGUUUCCAUACUGUGUAUAAAAUAUUUUAAAAAAUCUGUAUACACACACUCAUAAUUUAACCUGUCACUGUCAGAAUCUUAUUUUAUUAGACUCAUCCUUCAACAAGCUACUACUGUUUCAUCCCUUGCUCAUGUAUAUGAAAGUUGGUUCAAGUAUUUCCUAAUACUAGGUUUGAGAGUAAGGAGACUGUGAAGUACUGAGUUCAAAUACAUCUCAUUUUAGAAUCACAGUCACAACUUCAUGCUUUGAAUUUUAAUGCUUGCACAUUUAACUUUCCCUUUCAUUUUAAUACCUUGUCAAUCACCAUUCUCUAGUUAUUAUCUAGAUCACUUACUAUUAGUUUGUUUUGACCUCCAGGAUAUUCCUGUUUCUCCAAAUAUCACUGAUUCCCUGAGUUCCUGACUACUGCCUUGUAUCCGCCUAAUGGUAACUACAACUUAAAUCCCAGGAUGGUGAGCUAGAGAGCUAGCUCUUUUUGGUUCUGUAAGUCUCAGCUCUCCUCAGGCAUUUCUAGCAAUGUGGCUGCUAAAGACUCUGGCUGGUAUGAAAAAAAUAAAAGCCAUAUACUAAAUUUAUAGUUAUACAAGUAGUAUCUGAAGAUUUGCAGUCAUCUGUGUGAUAAUAAAAAGUAACAACAAUAACAAAUGAAAUAGCAGUAACUUUUGAAAUAGAGUUGACAAAGUAUUAUCACUUCAUUUAUUCAUCCAUUCAUUUAAUAAAAUUUAUUGAGCACCAGAUUUGUGCCAGGCAUUUUUAAUGGAGCUUACAAUUAAUUGGGGAUUCAUAUAAAGUACAGAUAAUUAUCAGUUGUGGUAAGGGCAUAUAGAAAAAGUAAACAGAAGAUGCUGUGAGAGUUUUCAAAGUCACACAGAACAUUCCUAUAGAAGUAAAGUUCACGGAUACUGAAGAAGCUUUAUUUGGUUGUUACAAUAAGCUUGUGAUGUAGAGAAGUUUUAUAUCCAUUUUGCAUAAUAAGGGGAAUAGCUAUGGCAUUGAGGUAUUGUUUGAGCUUCUUUUACCUUCAUUAGUCCAUUCUUCCUUAAUCAGGAACAUAGGGAAUUUUAACAUUUAUCCAAAGCAUUUAUCCAAAUUUGGUUGGAUAUGAUUAAUGCAAGCUGGGUGUGGUAAUACAUACCUAUAAUCUCAGUAUUCUAUGGUCUAAAGCAGACAGAUUAAGAAUUCAAGAAUCCAAGGCCAGAUUGGCUUACCUAACAAGAUUUUUUUUUUGGCUUUGAGACAGGAUUUCUCUGUAGAGCCCUGGCUGUCCUGGAACUCACUUUGUAGACCAGGCUGGCCUUGAACUCAGAAAUCCACCUGUCUCUGCCUUCCAAGUGCUGGGAUUAUAGGCGUGCACCACCACCACCCGGCACAAGAUCUUUUUUCAAGGAAAGCCAGAUAAUUUUCAUAAGUCAGUGAUGGCCAGGUGGUUAGAUGCAUUGGACUCCGAAAAAAGUAGAUAAUUCAUAUGUAAUGAUGGUCCUCAUAUUUAAUGGAUAUUAUAAAAAUGGGAAAAACUCAUUAGAUUGUGUGUGUGCACGCGUGCACGCGCAUAUAUGUGCAGUUACACUAUUGUUUGUGAGUGCACAUACACAUGUGUAUACCUGUGGAAAUUAGAGAUGACUUUGAAUCUCAUUUUUCAGAAGCCAUCUGCUUUAAUUUUGUUUCUUUGUUUUGAUCCAACAUCUCUCAUUGGUCUAGAGUUUUUUAAUUAUGUGUUCAUAUGUCUUUGUCUCACCAGUGCUGGAAUUUUAAGGGCACACCACUAGAUCUAGCCAUUUAAAAUUAUAACCAUGUUUGUAAGACAUGUACAUUAUUGGCUGAGUUAUCUCCCUGGUCACUGGCUCUAGCUUUAAGGGAAAAGAAUAAGUAAACAUGUUGAUUAUAUAUAAUAUUUGUCAUUAAAAUAUUUAUGGUUUGUGAAUUAGGUAAUUCUAAUUCUAGUUUUAAAAUCAGCUUAAUGAUAUAAAGUGUGGCUGCAGCUCUUCUUAAAUAUAUGAUCAGAGACAAAUGACCAUUAGAAAAUAUGAUAUGGUUAUCAUAGUAUAAGAAGUAUAUGUGAUUCUUUUUUUAUAUUUUUUCUGUUUCCCCCAAAGUUCUUACCAUCCAAAUAAACCUUAUAUUGAAGAAAAACAUUUAAACAGUUGUAUUCAAAGUUUAUUACUUACUUAAAUAUUAAAAAUAUAUGUAACUAAGUAUUAUUGCAAAAUUUCAAAAUAUAAAGAAACAAAGUAAAAAAAAAGUAUAUCCUCAAAUUAUCGAAAUCUCACAGAAAAUCUUUAUAAAGAUUUUGGUGUAUAUUCUUCCAUAAUUUUCAGUGUUUAUGUAUUUUUCCAGAAUGAAAUGAUUUGACCACUCUGCAAUCUAUUUUUUGAAUUAAUGGAAGUUGUAAAUUUUCACAACAGUAAACUGUGUUAUGACUUCAAAAUGUGUUAUGACUUCAAUAAAUGAUAUAUUUAUUUUGUCUCAAUUUGGCAUACAUUAAGUUCCUUAAAACAUUUUAGUACUAUUAAAACAUGCUAUGGUAAACAUAUGCACAGUACAAGUUGUGUAGAACCCACAUUGUAUCAUAUUACAUGUAGUCAAGUUUAUACUUAUUUGAAAACUUGUUUAGAUAAUAUUUAAAAUAAAUAACUAAAAUGAGAAGUUACUGAGUCAAAUGUUGUUAGCCUCAUCGUGCUUUAACACAGAAAAAAUUACAAGCCAUACAGAUGCCAAACAUUGGAGAUUGUUAAAAGAAAUUCCUGGUACAGUAUAUGAUAGAUACUUUCCAGUGGUGCUGGUUUAUACCAGGAAGAACAUUUACUAAAAUGGUACUAUGUUCACAAGUUGUUUACAGUAAGAGGAAAAUUCUCUCUCUCUCUCUCUCUCUCUAUAUAUAUAUAUAUCUAUAUCUAUAUCUAUAUCUAUAUGUCUUAUAGAUAGAGAGCAACAUAUAUAUCUUUGGAAAAGGAACCCAAUGCACUCUAAAAUUUUAGUAGAAAAAGUUCCAAAAGGAGGCCAGGCUAGGCAUUUAUUUAUUUAUUUAUUUAUUUAUUUAUUUAUUUAUUUAUUUAUUUAAAAACAGAAUAGCUCAGUCUGUAAAGUACCUGCCCAUAAAAGCAUAAUGCCCUGAGUUUAGAUGCCCAGAACCCACAUAAAAAUGGCGGUGUCUAUCUGAAACCAAAUUGUUGAAAGGCAGUAGAGAUAGACAGAUCCUUGGGGUUCACUCUAGCCAGUCAUUCUAGCAGAUUCUAUCAGCUCAUUAAGAGACCCUGUCUUAAAGACCCUUAUUUAAAAAGUAACAUGUAACCUGAUCAUAAAGAAUGCUUGAAAUGCGAGUUUGCACACGUGAAUGUGUAUCUGCAUGCACAUGUGCACAUACUCACACAAACAUAUAUACACCCUCACACACAAAUACGUGUUUAUGGUAAAUGAUUAAUAAUGUAGUAAUAUAUUCAGUAAGAAUUGAAAACAUUGUUUCGUAAUAUCACUGCAUAGAGUUAGCUAUAAUGAUUUGACCUUUUAAAUGGUUUGUCUAUUAAUGUCUAUCGUUUGUUGAGUGUUUCACAAAUAGAAUUAUUACAUAUUGUUAUAUAUUAAUAGAAUAACAUUUUGUAUUGCAUUAAUUAUUAGUAUUAGUGGGUAUGUGUGCAUGUGUGUGUGUUCCUAUGUAUAUGACAGGUCAGAAGAAAAUACUUAAGUCUGUUUUCUCCACAGAUCAUGAGGGGUUUGAACUCAGGAUGUCAAGUUUAGCAGUAAGAACCUUUCUUUAUCUGCUGUGCAUCUUGCCAGCCUGAAAUCCAUUUUAGUUACAGUACAUUGCUUAGUACAAAUUGUAUUCCUAUUACAUUCUUUUCACAUGAUGUGUGUUUAGGAUUUAGGCUUAUCGCAUUCUGUUGUACUUAUAGAUAAUAAUAUGAAGAGUAUUUUUGAAUCUAUUUUGUCUACUUUUACAAGUUUUUAUUUUUUGAUAAGCUAAUAACUUAGAAAUGAAAGGUCUACAUCAAAACGUUUGAAUUGAAUUGCCUGUCUUGCAUGCUGCCUACUACCAUUCUAUUUAGCUUAUAUCAACAAUUUUGAUGGGAAUAAUAGCUUGACAUAAUUUUCCUGCAUUCACUAAUAAAGUUAAUCAGCUUUUUCAUAUAUCCAUUUUUCUUCUGUUGGAAAAUUUUCUCAUCUUAUACUUUAGUUGUGUCAUUUGUCUCUGUAAAAUUUAAUUUUAAGAGAUCUCUGGAUAGUAUAGUUGAUUUCCUCUUUUCUGGUACAGAUUGCCACUGCAAAUGCCUAACAUUUGCUGUAUGUAUUUGAGGUACUGGUUUCCAUAAAGGUAAAUUUUAUUAUAUAAAAUAGACAAAUAUUUCAUUCUUUUCUAUUUUAUUGGUUUUGUGUUAUAUUUUAGUAGGAUUAUAAAAUUAUUUUCUCAUAUUUCCUUCUAAUAAUUGUAUGUCUUUCUUGCUUGAUACUUUAGACUCCUUAAAUUUUGCUUUCUUUUGUGUGUCUGGGUUUACUGAGAAAUAGGAAGUUAAGUUUUCUUUUUCAGAAAAGAUAACCAGAUCUCCAAAUGUCAUUAUUUCUACACUGAACUGAAAUUCUAUCAUAAAAUAUAUAGGUGAGGUUUUUUUUGUUGUUGUUGUGGAAAGUAUUUAACUAUUAUUGAGGUUAGGACCUCAUUGAUUUAUUUGCAGGAGCCUGAUAUUUUUAAGUAUGACACCAAUGUUGUUUCCUUCAUUAUUCAUCUUUUCUCUGAUUUCCCCCUUUUUGUGCAUAUGUGAUGUUAGAUGAAUUUUAGCAUCAACUUCCAUUGAAACAUACUUUUGAAAUGCCUGAGAGCUUUCAAGUUAUGGCACAAGUUGGCACAUUUAGAGUCAUGAAUUUGUAUCCAGAUACUUAUUUUCUUUCUCCGUUUGUCUAAUUUUGUUGUAGUCACAAAACAGUAAUAGGCCUUUUCUUUGUUUUUUUUUUCCUCUAAAUACGUAACUGUUAUUCUAAUGAAUGAUACUACAUCUUUUACUAUAUACAUAAUAGUUUUAUGCAUGUAUAUAAUUUGUAACUAUAAAGUCAGGAUAAUUAGUAUCAUCAUCUCCUCAAGUAGUUCUUUGUUUUGGCCAGGUUUCUGUUCUGUGUAUGCUUAUUUUUGAACAUACUGAUUGACUCUGUGUGACUGUUGUUGGUAGUAUUACAGUUGCAUUUUAAAAAUUUAUUAUUUAUUGUCUUAACAUUUAUGUUCAGUCAUCAUAUUUAGCUAUUUCUUCUUCUAAUAUUGUAUUUCUUUAGUUGAAUAUUUUUAAUUCUGAUGCACAUAAUCAUGUACAUUUUAAUAAUGAAACUUUAGCCUGAUAUUUUUAUAUGGUGUUUCCUUAUUACAACAUUAGUAAAGACUUUAUGACUCUUAGAAUAGUGCACACUUAUAUUGUUGAAUAAAGAACAGUAAUCUCUUUUAUUUUAUUUUUACCUUAAUAGAAAUUUGUUAGUGUUUCAUUUACAGAAAUAAUUUCCAUUGAUUCCAAUAUAUGCUUCUUUUCAUGUUAUAUAAAUGUCCUUCCAUUCUUUUGAUUUAUUAGGAAUAUGUAUAGAAUGAUACCAUUUUUUCUGGUGUCUUUGCAAAUGAUUAUCAGGAUAAAGUAUAGUUAUUCUCUUUAAUUUAUUAAUGUAAUUACUGUAAUUAACUGAUCUACUUUACUAUUCUAGGACUAAAAAUCUAACUUGGUAGUAGUACUUUGGUAUGUCUCUGUUUCAUUUAAAAGAUAAAACUCUAUAUGAACAGCUGCUUAUAGAAAGCACCUCUUUCCCUUUCCUAUAACAUAACAUAACACACUGGGGAGAGAGAAGAUUGUGCAGGGAUCAGAGUACUGGUCUUCCGGGCAUUGCCUUGCUGCCUUUGGAGUUAAGAUCCCAGUAUACAUACAGCCCAUCUAUAUGCAGUAGUUUCAUACUCUGCCUUUCACCACACCAUCUGUAUGUCACUGUGUUUGUGUAAUGCAGUGCUGGGAUGGAGCCUGGCCAGAGCUUCCUGUAUGCGGAAUAUACGUUCUGCCUCCUGAGUCACAUACUCAUUCCCUCGAAUUAUAUUACAAAGAUAGCUAUUUUAUCUCAGUUAGCUUUCGGUUGGGGUUUUCUUUUUCCGUCCUUUAAAAAAUUUCUCUAAUUUCUACUCAUGCUAUUUCACAUAUGGAGAAAGUAUCUCAAUUGUAAAUAAUAUAAUAUAAAUAUAUAAUAUGGAUAAUUUCUUUGCAUCUUAUAUGUAAUAAAUUUUCCCAUAGACUAUUGAUGUAUUUUAUUUUUGUUAAGGUAGUAUUUUAUAUUGCUCUAUAGUAAAUCAAACAUAUUAUUUGUUCAGUUUUCUAUUUUUGUUUGCUUGAUUUAAAAUAAAAUAAGUGUAAACUCUUCUAUUUAAUUAUUUUGUCAAAAUUUCCUCUUUUAAAUGUCCCCUUUUCAAAUAAAACAUAAUACAGUAUUUUUACCUUAUGAAAAAUUAAGCUUUUAUUAAUAGAUAAUUAACACAAUGAAUAACAGGUAUGACUUAGAUUUGUCAUGUCUCUUGAUAGUCCACAUCAUAAAAACUUGUAAUCAAAAUUGUUAGUAUUGGGGGAAAAAGGAAACUGAGAUUUUAUUUCAUCUGAGAAUAUUUGUCACUGGAUUCAUAAUUUGAAAGUUCACAUUAAUUUUACUUGAUACUAUUUGCUCAUAAUUUAUUUUGGAAUUUUGCUAUUUUUUCCUUUCUACAUCUGUCAAUGUAUAUGACACCUUUUAUUUUUGAAGUUAUAAUUACUUCCUUCCCUUUCCUUCAUCCAAACCCUCCCACUCUCUUUCAAAUUCAUGGUGUGUUUUUUCAUAUAUAUAUAUAUAUAUAUAUAUACACACAUAUAUACACACACAUAUAUAUACAUAUAUACACAUACAUAUAUAUGUAUAUGUGUGUAUAUGUAUAUAUGAAUAUAUGUAAUAUAGGAAUAUAUAAUAUAGGAAUAUAUAUAAUAUGGGAAUAUAUGUAAUGUAUAUUCCUAUAUACAACCUCUUCAGUCUAUAUGUUACUUGUAUAUGAGUUUUCAGGGCAGACCAUUUGGUACUGGAUUUCUUUUAUCUAUAUUUAUAAGUUUUAAGUAUCACUUUUAUUGUAAUGUGAUUAUAUUGAUAUAUGUAUAUGUUUAUUUAUAUACCUUAAUAUUAUAAUUUUUACACUAAAGAUGUUUAUAAUAAAACUAUCUCCUUUUAAA
rnacentral:lncRNA from 1 species